rnacentral:rRNA from 1 species
CCUGGCUCAGGAUGAACGCUAGCGGCAGGCUUAACACAUGCAAGUCGUGGGGCAGCGCGGACUUCGGUCUGGCGGCGACCGGCAAACGGGUGCGGAACACGUACGCAACCUUCCUCAAAGCGGGGAAUAGCCUCUCGAAAGAGAGAUUAAUACCCCAUAGUAUCGUCAGAAGGCAUCUGAAGGCGAUUAAAGCUCCGGCUACUUUGAGAUGGGCGUGCGGCUGAUUAGGUAGUUGGUAGGGUAACGGCCUACCAGCCGACGAUCAGUAGCUGAUGUGAGAGCAUGAUCAGCCACACGGGCACUGAGACACGGGCCCGACUCCUACGGGAGGCAGCAGUGAGGAAUAUUGGUCAAUGGAGGCAACUCUGAACCAGCCAUGCCGCGUGAAGGAUGAAGGUCCUCUGGAUUGUAAACUUCUUUUAUAGAAGAAGAAACCCCAGUAUUCUUACUGGGUUGACGGUACUCUAUGAAUAAGCACCGGCUAACUCCGUG